UGGCUCCCGUAUCGAUGAAGAACGCAGCGAAAUGCGAUACGUAGUGUGAAUUGCAGAUAAUGUGAAUCAUCGAAUCUUUGAACGCAAAUUGCACUCGAGGCUCCGGCCGAGAGUAUGUCUGCCUCAGCGUCGGCUUCACCCUCACACACCCGCUCGAGCGGGCGAUGUGGAUCUGGCAGUCCCGGUUCCAUCAGAACCGGGUCCGCUGAAGACCAGAGGCUCGAGCGAGGACCCGAUCGGGACAACAGUCUGGUAGGUGUUUCCCCACCGGGAACGCAUGCCGCUGUCGGCCCGGGACCCCGCUGUAAGCCGGCAGGAACUUUGGUUUCGUGCGCCGUGAAAAGCCUCGAGGACCAAACCUUUCAACAUUCGACCUGAGUUCAGGCAAGAACACCCGCUGA
rnacentral:misc_RNA from 1 species